rnacentral:rRNA from 1 species
AUUGAACGCUGGCGGCAUGCCUUACACAUGCAAGUCGAACAGCAGCACGGGAGCAAUCCUGGUGGCGAGUGGCGAACGGGUGAGUAAAGUAUCGGAACGUGCCCAGUCGUGGGGGAUAACGAAGCGAAAGUUACGCUAAUACCGCAUACGAUCUAUGGAUGAAAGCGGGGGAUCGCAAGACCUCGCGCGAUUGGAGCGGCAGAUAUCAGAUUAGGUAGUUGGUGGGGUAAAGGCUCACCAAGCCGAAGAUCUGUAGCUGGUCUGAGAGGACGACCGGACACACGGGGAGUGGGACACGGACCAGACUCCUACGAGAGUCAGCAGUGGGGAAUGUUGGACAAUGGACGAAAGCCUGAUCCAGCCAUGUCGCGUGCAGGAUGAAGGCCUUCGGGUUGUAAACUGCUUUUGUACGGAACGAAAAGGUUUGGCCUAAUAAGCUGGGCUCAUGACGGUACCGUAAGAAUAAGCACCGGCUAACUACGUGCCAGCAGCCGCGGUAA